GAUAAACGCUGGCGGCGCACAUAAGACAUGCAAGUCGAACGAACUUAACCCUUUGUUUACAUUGGGAGCGGUUAGUGGCGGACUGGUGAGUAACACGUAAGCAACCUGCCUAUUAGAGGGGAAUAACAGUGAGAAAUCAUUGCUAAUACCGCAUAUGCUCACAGUAUCACAUGAUACAGUGAGGAAAGGAGCAAUCCGCUAAUAGAUGGGCUUGCGUCUGAUUAGCUAGUUGGUGGGGUAACGGCCUACCAAGGCGACGAUCAGUAGCCGGACUGAGAGGUUGAACGGCCACAUUGGGACUGAGAUACGGCCCAGACUCCUACGGGAGGCAGCAGUCGGGAAUAUUGCGCAAUGGAGGAAACUCUGACGCAGUGACGCCGCGUAUAGGAAGAAGGUUUUCGGAUUGUAAACUAUUGUCGUUAGGGAAGAUAAAAGACAGUACCUAAGGAGGAAGCUCCGGCUAACUAUGUGCCAGCAGCCGCGGUAAUACAUAGGGAGCAAGCGUUAUCCGGAAUUAUUGGGUGUAAAGGGUGCGUAGACGGAGGAACAAGUUAGUUGUGAAAUCCCUCGGCUUAACUGAGGAACUGCAACUAAAACUAUUCCCCUUGAGUGUCGGAGAGGAAAGUGGAAUUCCUAGUGUAGCGGUGAAAUGCGUAGAUAUUAGGAGGAACACCAGUGGCGAAGGCGACUUUCUGGACGAUAACUGACGUUGAGGCACGAAAGUGUGGGGAGCAAACAGGAUUAGAUACCCUGGUAGUCCACACUGUAAACGAUGGAUACUAGGUGUAGGGUGUAUUAAGCACUCUGUGCCGCCGCAAACGCAUUAAGUAUCCCACCUGGGGAGUACGACCGCAAGGUUGAAACUCAAAGGAAUUGACGGGGGCCCGCACAAGCAGUGGAGUAUGUGGUUUAAUUCGAAGCAACGCGAAGAACCUUACCAGGGCUUGACAUAUACCGGAAUAUACUAGAGAUAGUAUAGUCCUUCGGGACUGGUAUACAGGUGGUGCAUGGUUGUCGUCAGCUCGUGUCGUGAGAUGUUGGGUUAAGUCCCGCAACGAGCGCAACCCCUAUCGUUAGUUGCUAGCAGGUAAAGCUGAGAACUCUAGCGAGACUGCCGGUGAUAAAUCGGAGGAAGGUGGGGAUGACGUCAAAUCAUCAUGCCCUUUAUGUCCUGGGCUACACACGUACUACAAUGGCCGCAACAGAGGGAAGCGAAAUAGUGAUAUGGAGCAAAACCCGAAAAACGGUCUCAGUUCGGAUUGAAGGCUGAAAUUCGCCUUCAUGAAGCUGGAAUUGCUAGUAAUGGCAGGUCAGCAUACUGCCGUGAAUACGUUCCCGGGCCU
rnacentral:rRNA from 1 species